UUAUUAAUGCUAUUAAUACCAAAGACAGUAACGGAGUUUGAUCUCUUAAUCAUGUUACCGAGGAAAUCUUUUUAAAAAAACAUUUUUGUUUUACUUCUCGGUUUAGUUAAUGUUACUAACCGAGGUUUUUUAUUAAGUGU
rfam:Mycoplasma putrefaciens Mput9231, complete genome.